GAUGAACGCUGGCGGCGUGCCUAAUACAUGCAAGUCGAGCGAACGGACGAGAAGCUUGCUUCUCUGAUGUUAGCGGCGGACGGGUGAGUAACACGUGGAUAACCUACCUAUAAGACUGGGAUAACUUCGUGAAACCGGAGCUAAUACCGGAUAAUAUUUUGAACCGCAUGGUUCAAAAGUGAAAGACGGUCUUGCUGUCACUUAUAGAUGGAUCCGCGCUGCAUUAGCUAGUUGGUAAGGUAACGGCUUACCAAGGCAACGAUGCAUAGCCGACCUGAGAGGGUGAUCGGCCACACUGGAACUGAGACACGGUCCAGACUCCUACGGGAGGCAGCAGUAGGGAAUCUUCCGCAAUGGGCGAAAGCCUGACGGAGCAACGCCGCGUGAGUGAUGAAGGUCUUCGGAUCGUAAAACUCUGUUAUUAGGGAAGAACAUAUGUGUAAGUAACUGUGCACAUCUUGACGGUACCUAAUCAGAAAGCCACGGCUAACUACGUG
rnacentral:rRNA from 1 species